rnacentral:rRNA from 1 species
AACGAACGCUGGCGGCAGGCUUAACACAUGCAAGUCGAACGGGUGCAGCAAUGCAUCAGUGGCAGACGGGUGAGUAACACGUGGGAACCUUCCUAGGGGUACGGAACAACUCAGGGAAACUUGAGCUAAUACCGUAUACGUCCGUAAGGAGAAAGAUUCAUCGCCCCUAGACGGGCCCGCGUCGGAUUAGGUAGUUGGUGGGGUAACGGCCUACCAAGCCUACGAUCCGUAGCUGAUCUGAGAGGAUGAUCAGCCACACUGGGACUGAGACACGGCCCAGACUCCUACGGGAGGCAGCAGUGGGGAAUCUUGGACAAUGGGCGCAAGCCUGAUCCAGCCAUGCCGCGUGAGUGAAGAAGGCCUUAGGGUUGUAAAGCUCUUUUACC